rnacentral:misc_RNA from 1 species
GAAAUGUGAUAAGUAGUGUGAAUUGCAGAAUUUAGCGAAUCAUCGAAUCUUUGAACGCACAUUGCGCCCCUUGGUAUUCCAUGGGGCAUGCCUGUUCGAGCGUCAUUUCAACCCUCAAGCACUGCUUGGUGUUGGGCGUUUGUCCCGCCUACGCGCGUGGACUCGCCUCAAAGUCAUUGGCAGCUGUUCCCCUUAGGCUCGUAAGCGCAGCACAGUCGGCGCCCGGAGCUCUGGUGGGAUGGCGUCCAGCAAGCUAUAUUUUCAGGCUUGACCUCGGAUCAGGUAGGGAUACCCGCUGAACUUAAGC